AAGACUAUAGACCUGCGGAGUACCUGCGGAAGGAUCAUUAAUGAAUUUUAGGACGUUCUUUUUAGAAGUCCGACCAUUUCAUUUUCUUACACUGUGCACACACUUCUUUUUACACACACUUUUAACACAUUAGUAUAAGGAUGUAAUAGUCUCUUAAUUGAGCAUAAACAAAAAUAAAACUUUCAACAAUGGAUCUCU
rnacentral:misc_RNA from 1 species